AUUAUUUUUUACCAUCGAUCGUAUGAAUGAGUUAACUUCCAUUUCUAAAAUUGUUAUUUUCUGUGUGCCAAAAUAGCGGAUGACUUAAGUCUCGCAGCGACCAUCGCGAAUCUUCCCGACGUCGAGAAGCAUCACGGCGCGAGUCCUCUCGAGCCAUUGGAUUGAACGACUCUACUCGUAAUGACCGCCGUGAAUGUACAUACAUACUCGAAGUGAGGGAUCAUCACGGCCUGAAUCCUCCCGAGCUAUUCACCCAAAAUUCAACCGCCGAGGGACGCGUGCUGGCGUAAGUGUCCAUACCAGCACUAUAAGCACAGGAGGGCGGAAUAUUAUCGAAAACGUGCGGUAGCCGAUAAUUUUGCACUAUUGCUGCAUAGUAUGUUCGCUAAGAAGAAAUAUUGAAGGGAUCAUAAACAAAAAAUUUGAGGAGGGCUGCAAAGAAACAAAAAAAAAUUGGUGAAUAACGGACACCCUAUUGCAUAUGGUGUGUUGGAAAUUGAUUGAAAUUUGUUAUUUUCGUAUUUCAGACGCACUGACAACAUUUAUUUCUCCGGCU